rnacentral:lncRNA from 1 species
GACCAGCAAGGAGGAAGGAAGUGUAGUGCAGAUGCCCCUGUUCCGUGCCUGUGUGCUCGUCUGCCUAUGGCAGACCAAGCCCUCUGCUGCCAAAUCCCUGGGGGAGCUGACAUGAACUAGUUUCACUUGUCCCCUGCACCUCCUCCAGCAGGAGCAGCAGGCUAGGCGGGGAGAGGAAGAGAAAACCCUGUUACACAGAGGAUGAAUUGAUUUAUGCAGACAGUUUAAAGGGUGUUCGCAGCUCUGAGGAAUGCAAGCGGCAGCAUGAUUUGAAGAGAUAACUACUAACCUGAGCUCAGAGUUUAUCAUUCCGGUUCAUUGAACAAAAGAGUCAUGGGACCAAAGAGAUGGCUCAGCAGUCUCUGCUGGCAAAUCUGCUGUCUAGACAUCCAAGUUUCUCUUGAUGAACGUUGUUUGCUCCGACUUCUUCUCCAGCAUAAACAAGGCCUUUCUCUUCAAGCUGGAAAGUGGCACGGCAGAUUCUCACUGCCUCCUGAUUACGCAGUGACUCCGUCUCCCUAACAAAUGGCCCGUGGAGAAUGAAGCGGAAAGCAGGAAUGUCCUCCUUGAAAGCGAUUAUGUGGAAAUUCGGAUUCCAAGGGUGGAGAGCGAAGCAUGUGGUUUUGUGCUGAGCUGUGUAAUACGUCAGGGCUCAGAAGACCGCGUGAGACAGGUAACAGGCAGCAGCAGGCUAUAUUUAGAGAAGAGAGAGAUGAGUGGAAUUCCGGGUCCUGUUGUCCACCUGUCCUGUCUCCAGGUGUUGACAUCUAAAUUAUGAGCCCAGUCAUAGGCUCCCUCCAUGUGCUUCCUUGCCCUUCUUCUGGCCCUGUAGACACACUGGGCUGCCUUUGAUCAUCAGUGCCAUGACUCACCCCCUUUCCACCCAUCCUGAGCACCAGAAAUCAAUAAGAGGAUCAUUUAAAAAUCCAUCCAGGGCCUGAGAAGGGCCCCUUACAAGACGUUGAAUCCUAAAUAAAGGAACAUCAGGGCUGGGAGGUGGAUGUGUUGUUGUUCUCUUUUGACUCAAAGAGAUCUAUUUGUAGCUGUGUACUUUCUCUUGCUAGUGUGGAAUUCUGCCUGGGCUGUUAAUCUAGAUUCUCCUUCAGAUAGCACACAAGAUGGACGGCAUUGGCUUAUUCAUGCUGCAGUGUGAGAGAACUUGAAAAGAGGAUAAAAGUAUGAUUAAUCACCUUUUUUUUUCUCCCUCAGCAUAUCAAUGUUAAAGAUUUGAACUCAAAAUUACAAGUCAGUUUAUGGUGAUUCACAGCAAUUAUUACUACUUACCUGUGUGACUAUAGAAAGUAGGAGUUUGUUUGUUUGCUUUCAAGACACUGUUUUACCAUGCUUAAAACAUUCUGUUUAGACCAGAAAGACCUCGAACUCACGGUGAUCCACUUAGCCCCACCUCCUCAGUGCUGGCAUUAAAGGCAUGUGCCACCAGGCCUGGUCUUAGAACUGUUCUUAUAAAUGGGGUAAAAUGUGCUGUUGAUGUUCCGGUGCCCCAGUGUCCAGUGUCUGAUCUGAGUGUGUUUGGAAGAUUUCAGGCAGGAUUUGGAGACACAAGUCCUUGUGUUUCUAUUGCUGAGGGAAGUUUUCCUUAAAAUGGCAGUUUCUGGUGUCCUCAUUGAGAUGAGAGUUUAGUCUCCCCAUCUUGACAGGAUUGUAGAAGAGCGUGCAUUUUACAAAAGGUAAACGGACUCUCAAUAAAAACACCGAGGGGCUAUGACAUUUCAGAAUCACCCUCUGGGGGAGGUAGCAGACACGAGGAAGGCUCUGGAGUCAGUAAAAGCUUCUUUCAGAUUGCUGGUCCAAGGUGUCAUAUCUGAUUAUUUUAGUGUCCAGGUGAUAAUCAAUAGUUUUAUUGAUUCUUUGAGAGUUUCACAAAGUGUAUUUUAGUGAUACUUAACCCCAGCUCCUCCAAGAUCCACCUUCAUGACCCUUAGCUCCGGACUCACUCAACUUUGUCUUCUUUUUCCCCC